CCAGUAGGGAAUGCAAGGAUCCUGUCAGAACUGGUGGUUCCAGAAGUAUCUAUCCUGGACGAGAGGGGUUUACAGGUGUGUUUCCAUGGCCGGCUGAACACACUCUGGGGUGACUGUGGUCGCUAGAAGUCUGCAGUAUAAACCAUACAAAGAGACAGCAAGACCACUGCAGGUGAUACGCUGAUCCAUGUUCUGUGGAAGUGAACAGAGGAGGGACAUUGAAUCUAACCCUAAGCCUAACUCGAACCUUAACCUUCAUCAUAACCCUAACCCUAAUCAUAGCCCUCAUCUUAACUACAAUCCUAACAAUAACCCUAACCUUAAUCCUAAACCUAAUCUUAAUCAAAACCCUAACCUUAAUUAUAAUCCUAAUCAUAACCCUUAUCCUAUCUCCAAUCUUAAUCAUAACCCUAACCGUGACCUUCAUCCACAGGCCCAAAGGGUGAAAAGACAAAUGAAACCCAAGAAGAAAAAGCCAAAGCCAAAGCCAAACCCAGGGUCAUUCUCCGUUCUCAGUUCAGACAAAAGGGUGAAGAGGCACCAAGACAAACAGAGGAGGAAUUCAAAUAAGAAGCCAUAUUCUGGAAAGUUCUCCCCUCUGGGCCAAGGAAGUCCCCCCACGCAGGAGGCUUUUCAAUGAGGGACAUCAAGAGGUGGUUCCCCAGACCGCUGAGCACACGUCUGGCAUCCUUCUCACAUCCUUCAAAACAGACACUCAAAAAGCUGCAGCAUCUCCACGGACAGACUCCUAAACACACUCAAGCAACGCAUUACACACACUCCAAACGUGUGGUUUAAAUUAAACAGCGUAAAACUGUGGAAACAGGAACCUGUAAACAAAUUCUCUCUUUGCAGGUAUUAAAUUGCAAAGUAAUGUGCAAAGCCACAAGAAUAAAGAAACCUUUGUAUCCUCGUAGUCUUUCA
rnacentral:lncRNA from 1 species